AACGUCGCUCAUCUGUAGAUCCGCACCUGAUACUUAUCGCUCGAGUAUAUACACGAGUGCGCAUAUAUACGUGUCCAUACGGAGAAAAUAGAAGGGAAAAAGACGUUCCUAAAGGGCUUCUUCCACUGGCAAAUGGCUCGCGAUGUCGUCCGCACGAUAAACCGUUUCGUGUCAAAAUGCCAACGUAAUUGAAGAAAAUCGGAUUACGCGAGAACUCGCUCCGUCUCGCUCACUCAUCCGGCAGAAGACGAGACUCGAGAGUUCUGGGAAUAUAACGCGCCUAACGUUUUGUAUUUCAAAUGUAUGUUUAUGUAUAUACGUUUGUGUACAGACACGAAAGAGGCAGAGAGAAAAAGAGAGAGAGAGAGAGAGAGAGAGAGAGAGAGCAACGGUGCUCGCGAGUUCGAAACGCGCCCCCGAGCGAACUUCGAAGAUCUAACCGUGAUAUUUAUGCAUUGGGACCGAGAAGUGGGAGAAAUUGAGGCGCGACGAACCCAGUGGCGAAUCUCGGUACUACGAGUCGCCGUGAAAGCAAACGAGACAAAAAAACACUUCGCGACCUGUCGUCUGCUAACAAACUAUAAAUCUAAACUAAUAAAUUGGCAAAUUCGCGAUAUAAUCCUCAAGUCUGCACACCUCGAUGGGUAUAACGUGAGUGAAAAAUCGCUGCAUUUCACGAUUAGCCUUGACUUUUGCCGAUUCGAAUACCGGUGCUAACUGGAUAGCGAAGCACGCUUCGAGAUGUGGAAAAGCGCUUAUUCAGUAAUUUUAAAAAUUCCAAUUCCACGUGUAAUAAUUCCAAAGACUCACACAAACGAAAAAAAAAGGGAAGGAAAAAAGUUCAUGAACGAAAGCUGACAGAGCAGCGUUAAUGUAUCGACAGGACAAAAAACUCUUGGAGGCGACGUCAAAAACAGUGCGAGGACGCGACGACGUAUCUCAUAACGUAACUACACGUUUGAUACACAAUCGUAUCUAUAUGUAUAAAUAUACAUAUGUAUAUAUCGAUG